UACGUAGGGUGCGAGCGUUGUCCGGAAUUACUGGGCGUAAAGAGCUCGUAGGUGGUUUGUCGCGUUGUCCGUGAAAACUCACAACUCAAUUGUGGGCGUGCGGGCGAUACGGGCAGACUGGAGUACUGCAGGGGAGACUGGAAUUCCUGGUGUAGCGGUGGAAUGCGCAGAUAUCAGGAGGAACACCGAUGGCGAAGGCAGGUCUCUGGGCAUUAACUGACGCUGAGGAGCGAAAGCAUGGGGAGCGAACAGG
rnacentral:rRNA from 1 species